GUACCCUCAAGCUUUGCUUGGUGUUGGGCGUUUUGUCUUUUCACAAAGACUCGCCUCAAAGUAAUUGGCAGCCAGUGUUUUGGUAGUAAGCGCAGCACAUUUUGCGUCUUAGUCCCUUGACAGCGGCAUCCACAAAGCCUCUUUCUCAC
rnacentral:misc_RNA from 2 species